rfam:Nicotiana attenuata strain TT chromosome 5, whole genome shotgun sequence.
CUUUGUGCGGUGAUGAUACAAUUUGUGGACUAGAGUUUCUGAUCUGGGGUUUUUAACCCCUAAUGGUUGAAGACAAACCCUUGGCUGUCUGAGCACACUC